rnacentral:tRNA from 1 species
UGUCAAAAGGGAUGGGAAUCGAACCCACGACCUUCCGCUUACCGGGCAGAUGCCAUGACCACUAGGCUACCCUGGAC